rnacentral:rRNA from 1 species
UACGGUGAAAACUGCGAAUGGCUCAUUAAAUCAGUUAUCGUAUAUUUGAUAGUACCUACUACAUGGAUAACCGUGGUAAUUCUAGAGCUAAUACAUGCUUAAAAUCCCGACUUCGGAAGGGAUGUAUUUAUUAGAUUAAAAACCAAUGCCCUUCGGGGCUCACUGGUGAUUCAUAAUAACUUCACGAAUCGCAUGGCCUUGCGCCGGCGAUGGUUCAUUCAAAUUUCUGCCCUAUCAACUUUCGACGGCUGGGUCUUGGCCAGCCGUGGUUACAACGGGUAACGGAGGGUUAGGGCUUGACCCCGGAGAAGGAGCCUGAGAAACGGCUACUACAUCCAAGGAAGGCAGCAGGCGCGCAAAUUACCCAAUCCCGAUACGGGGAGGUAGUGACAAUAAAUACUGAUACAGGGCUCUUUUGGGUCUUGUAAUUGGAAUGAGUACAAUUUAAAUCCCUUAACGAGGAACAAUUGGAGGGCAAGUCUGGUGCCAGCAGCCGCGGUAAUUCCAGCUCCAAUAGCGUAUAUUAAAGUUGUUGCAGUUAAAAAGCUCGUAGUUGAACCUUGGGCCUGGCUGGCCGGUCUGCCUCACCGCAUGCACUGGUCCGGCCGGGCCUUUCCCUCUGGGGAGCCGCAUGGCCUUCACUGGCUGUGUCGGGGAACCAGGACUUUUACUGUGAAAAAAUUAGAGUGUUCAAAGCAGGCCUAUGCUCGAAUACAUUAGCAUGGAAUAAUAGAAUAGGACGUUGCGGUUCUAUUUUGUUGGUUUCUAGGACCGCCGUAAUGAUUAAUAGGGACAGUCGGGGGCAUCAGUAUUCAAUCGUCAGAGGUGAAAUUCUUGGAUCGAUUGAAGACUAACUACUGCGAAAGCAUUUGCCAAGGAUGUUUUCAUUAAUCAGGAACGAAAGUUAGGGGAUCGAAAACGAUCA